CCUACGGGAGGCAGCAGUGAGGAAUACUGGUCAAUGGACGAGAGUCUGAACCAGCCAAGUAGCGUGAAGGAUGACUGCUCUAUGGGUUGUAAACUUCUUUUAUAUGGGAGUAAAAUUUUCCACGUGUGUUAUUUUGUAUGUACCAUAUGAAUAAGGAUCGGCUAACUCCGUGCCAGCAGCCGCGGUAAUACGGAGGAUCCGAGCGUUAUCCGGAUUUAUUGGGUUUAAAGGGAGCGUAGGUGGAUUGUUAAGUUAGUUGUGAAAGGUUGGGGCUCAACCGUAAAAUUGCAGUUGAAACUGGCAAUCUUGAGUACAGUAGAGGUAGGCGGAAUGCGUGGUGUAGCGGUGAAAUGCUUAGAUAUCAUGAAGAACACCGAUUGCGAAGGCAGUUCACUAGACUGCAACUGACACUGAGGCUCGAAAGUGUGGGUAUCAAACAGGAUUAGAUACCCCGGUAGUC
rnacentral:rRNA from 1 species